GGGUGAGUAACGCGUAUCCAACCUGCCCACCACUUGGGGAUAACCUUGCGAAAGUAAGACUAAUACCCAAUGAUAUCUCUAGAAGACAUCUGAAAGAGAUUAAAGAUUUAUCGGUGAUGGGUGGGGAUGCGUCUGAUUAGCUUGUUGGCGGGGUAACGGCCCACCAAGGCAACGAUCAGUAGGGGUUCUGAGAGGAAGGUCCCCCACAUUGGAACUGAGACACGGUCCAAACUCCUACGGGAGGCAGCAGUGAGGAAUAUUGGUCAAUGGACGAGAGUCUGAACCAGCCAAGUAGCGUGCAGGAAGACGGCCCUAUGGGUUGUAAACUGCUUUUAUAAGGGAAUAAAGUUAGUCUCGUGAGACUUUUUGCAUGUACCUUACGAAUAAGGACCGGCUAAUUCCGUGCCAGCAGCCGCGGUAAUACGGAAGGUCCGGGCGUUAUCCGGAUUUAUUGGGUUUAAAGGGAGCGUAGGCCGGAGAUUAAGCGUGUUGUGAAAUGUAGACGCUCAACGUCUGCACUGCAGCGCGAACUGGUUUCCUUGAGUACGCACAAAGUGGGCGGAAUUCGUGGUGUAGCGGUGAAAUGCUUAGAUAUCACGAAGAACUCCGAUUGCGAAGGCAGCUCACUGGAGCGCAACUGACGCUGAAGCUCGAAAGUGCGGGUAUCGAACAGGAUUAGAUACCCUGGUAGUCCGCACGGUAAACGAUGGAUGCCCGCUGUUGGUCUGAAUAGGUCAGCGGCCAAG
rnacentral:rRNA from 1 species